rnacentral:rRNA from 1 species
GACGAACGCUGGCGGCGUGCUUAACACAUGCAAGUCGAACGGUAAGGCCCUUCGGGGUACGACGAGUGGCGAACGGGUGAGUAACACGUGGGUGAUCUGCCCUGCACUUCGGGAUAAGCUUGGGAAACUGGGUCUAAUACCGGAUAGGACCACGGUCUGCAUGGAUUGUGGUGGAAAGCUUUUGCGGUGUGGGAUGGGCCCGCGGCCUAUCAGCUUGUUGGUGGGGUGAUGGCCUACCAAGGCGACGACGGGUAGCCGGCCUGAGAGGGUGUCCGGCCACACUGGGACUGAGAUACGGCCCAGACUCCUACGGGAGGCAGCAGUGGGGAAUAUUGCACAAUGGGCGCAAGCCUGAUGCAGCGACGCCGCGUGGGGGAUGACGGCCUUCGGUUGGUAAACCGUACUUUCUAGCAGGGACGAAGGGU